rnacentral:rRNA from 1 species
GAAUUUUGGACAAUGGGGGCAACCCUGAUCCAGCCAUGCCGCGUGUGUGAAGAAGGCCUUCGGGUUGUAAAGCACUUUCGGACGGAACGAAAUCGCGCGGGUGAACAAUCCGCGUGGAUGACGGUACCGUAGGAAGAAGCACCGGCUAACUACGUGCCAGCAGCCGCGGUAAUACGUAGGGUGCGAGCGUUAAUCGGAAUUACUGGGCGUAAAGCGUGCGCAGGCGGCGCCGCAAGUCAGGCGUGAAAUCCCCGAGCUUAACUUGGGAAUGGCGCUUGAAACUACGGUGCUGGAGUGUGGCAGAGGGAGGUGGAAUUCCACGUGUAGCGGUGAAAUGCGUAGAGAUGUGGAGGAACACCGAUGGCGAAGGCAGCCUCCUGGGCCAACACUGACGCUCAUGCACGAAAGCGUGGGGAGCAAACAGG